rnacentral:rRNA from 1 species
UACGUAGGGUGCGAGCGUUUGUCCGGAAUUACUGGGCGUAAAGCGCGCGCAGGCGGUCUUCCAAGUCAGUGGUGAAAGCCUGGAGCUCAACUCCAGAACUGCCAUUGAAACUGUUAGACUUGAGUACGAGAGAGGUGAGUGGAAUUCCCAGUGUAGAGGUGAAAUUCGUAGAUAUUGGGAAGAACACCGGUGGCGAAGGCGGCUCACUGGCUCGUAACUGACGCUCAGGCGCGACAGCGUGGGGAUCAAACAGG